rnacentral:lncRNA from 1 species
CGAGGACGACAUAUCUGCGGCUGCUCCCUUCCCUAAAAAGACCUAGUUUUCAUCUUCUCCAAAAAGACCCAGUAAUGACAGCACCCCAUCCUUUCUAGAUAAAAAUUCCAGCCAAAAUCCCAUCUCCUAAGCAAAGAACAGAAGCCACACCCCCAACAAAAAGACCUUCUUCUUCCUCCAUGAAAGUCUAGCUAUGAACCCCCUGAAAAUAUCUCAAAUUCCAGCUCCAAAAUACCUUUAAACCAGUCAAAAAAUGGCUCCAAAAUCAUUCCAAAAAUGCAAUAGCUGAAAUCACCCAAAAACAACCCCCUAAAAUCCAAAAACUCAGUGAAAACAACAUCAAAGGCUACUCCAUAUCCGCCAAAAACCAGCUAAAGAAACCUAUUUAAAAAUACUUCAAAACUGCCUUCAUUUUUUGAGUCGAGUUUGUCACAUGAUUAUGCUUCGAGUCGAGGUCCUCCGAUGAGUUUUUUCCGUCUAGGUUGCUGAUCGAGUUUCCGGCAAGGCCUAGUUGAAUCGUUGAAAUACAUAAGCUCAAGAACAGAGUGUUGUCUUAGGAGGAGAAUGGUUGUAAAAGCUGAUGCCUUUGCGAUACUCUUCUAAUGGCAAAUAUGUAAGUCUUUCUUCUUCUUAUUUUUCAUAAUUUUCUGGCGUGUAUCUUUAAAAGCUUUAUUUUUUUUAAAUAAUUUUUGUUCUUCUUUAAAGUUUGGAUCCUUUUCACUUAAUUCUUGGCUAAAGUUUGUACUUGUUCCAGAAGUUCUUGUAAAGUCUUGUUAACCGUAAAUGUUUCAAUCUAGCUGCAAGAUCUAAUGUUGAACUUGGUAUUUUUACAAGUCUGAUUGUACUAUUCUUUACCUAAUUGCUCCAUUUUCCUUUUCUUUCUUUUAUCAUUUGGUUUCCAUAAAUAUGCAAAUUGUGUGUCCAAAGAGAAAUUUUUGGUGGUGGGUUUUGGACGAAAAUUUUGGGGAAAAUGAAUUUUUUAUGUUAGAAAAUUUAAUUCGCCAAAGUAUAAUUACAAAAGAUAAAUCACAUUAUCUCUACCACGUUAAUCAGCCAUAAUUCAUGGCUUCACUCUCAUCUCAAAUCUUAGGAAUAAUUGAAAUAUGAAUAUUCGUAGUUUGCUUUAGGCGCGAUUAAAUAAAUCAUCGUGACUAUGAGUACGAUUGUUGUGGCAUGGUCACGAUACGUAAUCCCCAAUUCGGGUGUGCAUUUCAUGUGACCCGAUCGUAACAACUUUGAACAUUAAUAAAAUAAACAUAUCACGAACCGCGAGUCCAUUUCAUGUAGCGUGAUUUGCGGUGUGUUCCAAAACGGCAAGUGUACGACCAUCGUAACUUGUUCAAGAAAUAAUUCCAUAAAUUCUAAAAGCGGUUUAAAAUAAUUAAAUGCGGUUAUAAAGUUAAAAAUGCAUAAUAGGUUUAAAACAUGUAAUUUUACAGAUAAUUAGGCCAAUUAUUAAUAGUUAAGAGACCAUGCUAAAACCACGGAACCUAGGAAGGCCUAACACCUUCUCCCGGGUUAACAGAAUUCCUUACCCAGAUUUCUGUGUUCGCAAACCAUAAAUAAGAGUUAAUUUCCUCGAUUUGGGAUUUUACAAUAAACCGAUGACUUAGGACACCAUAAAUAUCCUAAGUGGCGAAUCUGAAAAUAAAAUAUUCUCAUUUCUAUUAAUGUCACUUAAAUUGGAUAAACUCCCCUAUAUACCCUUUUCCGGGUAUAAAAAGGAGGUGUGACAGCUCUAGCGACUUCACUAGGUAUUGACAACCCAGAAUCUCUGGUUCAAGGUUCAGAAUUCGAGUUUAGAAUAGCUGUUAUGAUUGACUUUUAUUUGUUAUCUGAUUUUUACAUGUUUGAGCCUAAUGUGUUAAAUGCCGCUUUUUAGCGCUUUGAUUUUGCUUGAACUGUAUAUAAAUUGUUACGAAACUCUUCUUCUCUCUGAGUCUUCUAAAUCAUCUGGGAAGUGUGCACUUCGUGUGACUUCUUUUCUGUUAGAGUCAUAUCCCAAUUUUAGAACGAGGUUCGUACAAGUUGCAAAGCCGGUGAAGCUUAUGUAUUCCCGGUACGCUGCCCCCCCCCCCUCAACUUGAGAUGUCCGCUCGGGUAAGCCAGGUCUAGAACAAUACCCCUAGGUUUUAAACCUAGAAUAACAUAGCCUCAUGCCGGAUCCCUAGUAGGAACACUUGUUUGCAUCACGUGCAAUUGACUUUGGGGACUCAACACAGGGGUUGGGUCCGUCUAGGACAGGUGUACCCAAAUUAAAAGACCGUCCUGAUGCAUCUUACGUGCUACUUGCGUAUCUGUCUGUUUCAGCUUGCAUGUUGACUGGCUUCUAGAAUAGGGAAAGAAAAUGCAAAAAAAAAGAAAAAAAAAAUUAAAAAAAAUCAAGAGUGAGAGGUAGGUAUUUGAAAUUUCUGAAACUCUCCCGAAAUUCCAAAAAAAAAAGAAGAAAAAAACCAAUGUUUUCAAAAGUCAUAUUUCCCUGUUCCGUCAAAUAUGGACGAACUACGCGGGUCUGAUUCUCACCGGAUGUGAGAUACAUAGGCAAACCUCAUUGGUUCCGGCCCACAAUUUUCAAAAAAUCCAAAAAUAUUUUCAUUUACUUCCUUUUUUAGAAAAGUCUUUCUUUAAGACCCCAAUUUUUAAAAAUUUAAAAAUAUUUUCCUUUAAUUCCUUUUUAGUAAUGUCUUUCUUUGAGACCCCAAUUUUAAAAAAAUCCAAAAUAUUUUCUCUAGAAGUUUUUCUUUCGAAAAUUAAAAAGAAAAUUCAAGAUUCAAAAAUAUUAUUUUUAGAAGUCUUUUUUUUUAUUUAUAAUUUUAACAUAAAAGUCCAAAAAUUCAAAAAUAUUCUCUUUCUUCUUUAGAAGUUUUUCUUUCGAAAUUCCCAAAAAAAGUCGAAAUCAAAAAAUAUUUUCUUUCUUCUUUAUAAGUCUUUCUUCCAGAAAUUAAAAAAAAAAAUUAAAAUCCAAAAAAAAAUAGUUUAUUUACUCUAUUCAUGAUCUUCCCGAACUAUGCAAGAUUUGAUUCAUGUUCCCCACAUGAUACAUAGGCAACCCACAUCAGGUUCGAUCAAAUGAUUUUGAGAAAAAAAGGAAAACAGAAGGUGAAAAAAAAGGAAAAAAAGAAGGAAGAAUGAUAAUAAUAAGGACCGACUGAGCCCACUCUAACAUGUCUUUUGUUUCAAAUUGUGAAGAAAGUUUGAGGUGAUCGGUUUGUGGUAAGCUGACAACACAAAAUCCAAAGUGAAAAUGACAACUGACAUCGAAGCUGUUGCAAGCAGUCAGAGACUCAAGGUCAGAGGGUUCAACAAUAGUCUAUUGUGGUUGAGGAAAAUAGAGUACUGAAACAAAAAAUGACUAAAUUGUGUCAAGCAUGGGCCAACGGCUAAGGACCGCCCUUUUCUUCUCAUGGUUUUCCAGAGUUCACACCCAUCUCGACUAAUGCCAUUCCGGUCUCAUUGUCUGAUCAAUCCUAUCCACCUAGGUUCAGUCAUUAUCCCAACUGUACGACUACAACUGGAACUUCUGUUUCAUGCUCUCAAAGUUUGUCAUUGACAACCAAUCAGACAACCUCUACUGUUAUGCCCGUCUUCACCAUCCCACAGCCGACGGUGGUGUAGAGGAAAACUCAUAAGUCACAAUUUGCUACCCAACAAGAGCAGUACCACUCGUACUUAUUUAAUCUUCCUGCAAACAUUGAGAAUCCCGCCCGAAAGAUGGCACAGGAAGAAAUGACCCAAAAAGUGAAAAGCUUAGAAUAACAGUUGAAAAACAUGCAAGGGUUGGCUGGUCAGAAGAGCAUUGCCUUCAAGGAUUUAUGUUUGUUCCCCGAUGUCCACUUGCCACCUGGUUUCAAGACUCCCAAAUUUGAAAAGUACGAUGGACACGGAGAUCCCAUAGUCCACCUGAAAAGCUAUUGCAAUCAGCUAAGAGCUGUGGGAAGAAAUGAAGAAUUACUAAUAGCUUAUUUUGGGGAAAGCCUUACGGGAACAACAUCCGAAUGGUUUUUGGAUCAAGACACAUCUCGUUGGUACGUCUGGGAUGACAUGGCACAAGCCUUCGUCAAACAGUUCCAAUACAACAUUGACAUUNNNNNNNNNNNNNNNNNNNNNNNNNNNNNNNNNNNNNNNNNNNNNNNNNNNNNNNNNNNNNNNNNNNNNNNNNNNNNNNNNNNNNNNNNNNNNNNNNNNNNNNNNNNNNNNNNNNNNNNNNNNNNNNNNNNNNNNNNNNNNNNNNNNNNNNNNNNNNNNNNNNNNGAAUGGCCUUAAGACAGGCAGAAUUAUAAGUCAAGCAGCUCUCAAAGCUGCAACUCAGGCUGUCCAAAUUGAAUCUAGUGACACGAAUGAGAAGGUUGAAGAAAUCAUGAUGACAUCAGGGUCGAGAACAGGUCCUAGGAGAACAUCUCGAAGGUAUGAGCAACCUCCUCAGGUUUUCCAUGACUCCCCUGAGCACUAUUAUCCACCUCAGAACCCUCAAUACUCUAUUACUGCAUCUUAGUAUAUUGCCCGACCACCAAGACACCCCAGAAGGCGAGCACUAGCAUCGCAAAAUCUCCACCAGCCUCCACAAAAUUUUUAGGCGCCCUAUAAUCCACAUCCAAGCCAGAGGUAUAAAGGGGAACAAAGGUUGAAAGAUAAUUUUACACCAAUAGGAGAGUCCUAUGCAAGUUUAUUUGAGAAGUUAAAGCAUUAUGACAUGAUUGCACUCAUUCCUCCAAAUCACAUGGACCCACGUGCAAGAAACUUCGACCCUUCUAAAAGGUGUGAAUACCAUUCUAAUGCUCAAAAGCACAAUGUUGAAAGCUAUCGGGAUUUGAAAAGAGAAAUAGAAAGGAUGAUCCAGGAAAAACUGAUUGUGAUCCAAGACAGUGACACCCAGAAUAUCGUGCAGAAUCCUUUACCUGCACAUGAUGAUGCACACUUUAUGGGGAUGAUACCUGGUGACAUGGAGUAUGAGAAUCCUCUCGGAAACUUGCUGACUUAAAUUGGAGAAGGCCAUGGUGAUUCUGAUGAGCAGAUCUAUGACUAAAUGUCAAGCUUAGCAAUUGAAAAGUCAUUUUCUCCUCACUAGGAAGGAGUCUUGGUAGUUUGUUUUGAUAUUUUUUCUAUUAUGUGGGUUAUUUCAGGGUCGUGACCCAGAUUCUAUUUGUUUUAUUGAGUCAAACCCUUCUAUCCCUCCAUUCUAUUUAUGUUAGUUUUGUCUAUCUGUUCUGUUGCUAUUUUCAUUCGCCGAGUUGUUUUAGGGCUAUAACUCGGAUUUUAGGUUGUUUCUCUUAUUUUCAAACCCUUUCAUCAUUUACUCAAUGAAAUACAGUUUGUCCUUUUGUGCAUUAUGUUCUUAGUUUUUUUCUCGCUAGUUCUAGUGACAUUACAUGCAUGCGGAAUUUUUGUCCAGAUCAUAGAAAAUUGAUUUAGUCUUGAAUUGGAUAAGUAAGAAGGAGGCACUUUUGAAGAUGAAUAGAGACAUAAAACAGUUGAAAAAUAAGCAUAAGCCAAUUUUAUAUGGAACAAAAACAGUUAUGCUCAUGGAAGUGAAGGAUCUCUACCUUUUGAAUUAUUGAGAAGAUCGGGUUUAAGGAUAAUCGGACGAGUUAAAAUCUGUUUAGCACUAAUAGAUAGAAAGUGUUUUUCAAUAGAAGGUGUAUUCCAGACAACGUGAAAUGGAUUAGUUAGUGGCAAAAUACAUCUUCUACAUCAAGAAAAAAUUUAAGAAAAUUCAACCAAAUUGACAAGGGUCAUUCACAGCGAGGAAAGUAUUGCUCAUACAGCUUUAUACUGAAAAGACCCAAGAAAACAGGCAUGUUCAUCAAUGAUGUGAUUGCGAAAGGAUAUUAAUUGGCGUUCUCGAGGCUGAGAGGCCCUUUUUAUGUUAUCCAAACACUUUAUAUCCUUUGUUACCCCUUUUGAGUUUGUGUUAUUUUCUUUGACCACCCUCUUUUGGAAUCAAGUUUAAAGUCAAGAGUCAAAAAAAAAAGUUAAUGUUCCAAGAGUACAAACUGGGGUAAUUCUUAGAAAGUUCAAAAACAAUGAAGAAAAAAAGAACUGUCAAAGGUCCAUGCUCCCAGAAAAUGGAAGCUGGGGCAACUUGUUUUGAAAACAAAAAGAAAAAAGAAAGGAAAAAUAAAAAGAAAAAGAAAGAAAGAUGAAAAAAAGUAGUUAGGUCAGAUGUUUGAACUAUAUUAGACCUGAUUCCUUUAAAAUAAAGAUACGUAGGUAGCCUCACGGUUCGGUCCAACCAAAUAAGAAUUUAGGAGAAAAAGAAAAAAAAAUAGAAAAAUUCAAAAAUCCCCAGUAUUUGAAACUGGGGCAACGAUUUUAUUUUAUUUUUGAAAGAGUCGAUUCCAAGAGUUGUAAGUCUACAAUUCCUCAUUUUGAGUUUAUUUUGAGCCUUCAUGUCAACCCUUCAAUUCAACCCUAUCCAAAAAUCUUCCAAAUAAAGGUCUCCCGAAAUUCUUUCAAGAAUGCCAAGAGAAGCGUGUAAUGAGCAAUGGUUGUCACGCGACAUAGAACACUGUCAAGUUGCUCACAAAAGAAAAAGAAAAAGAACAAGAAAACUGAGAGAGCCUUACUAGUGAAAACCUUCACGGGCACUGUAAGGCGAUGGUAAGUAGAGAUAAAUAAAUAAGAGAGACUUGUAUGUGAAAAUUCCUCGGGACACCACUAGUCGAAAGUGAGUCGUGAAGCUGAUGCAAAGGAUUGGCACGAGCAAGCCCGACUUCAAAGGUCAUAAGAAUGGUAAAAGGGAAGAUUGGAUUAGUUUGAUAGAUUAGGUCGUUGAGUCCAAAAUGCAUGUCAUGAUCAUUAAGACUAGUAAUGGAAAAAAAAUAAAAAGUGAAAACAAAAAAAAGGAAAAAAAACUCUUCCUUCUAUCCUUCUGACGGAGGCAUUUCUUGUUAAUACUUGUUUCGUUUUAUCAUUGUGUCCUUCAAUCUGAGUCAGUUCUUGUCAAAACAAGCAAGAAAAGAUUUCAAAAUCUGCUACCAGCUUUUCAGUUGCACAAAGUAAAUUUUGCCAGCACACUCAGUUGUUACUGUCAACAUGCCUUGAGGAUUCAUGCAAAGGCCCCCCCAAAAGACUCUUGUCAGUCUACUUGGCGCAGGAAAAGAUAACUGGUGAUUUUCUCUUACAGACAAAUUGCUCAAAAAGCAGGAAGUCAUUCAAGAUAUCAGAAAAGGUCACCUAAGAAGAGAUCUCCAGUUGGGAUAAGGCUGAUUGAGCCACAAAUACAAAUGGUACUGGGUGUGAAAUAAUUAGGGUUGAUGUAGAGCAAAAAUCUGUUGAAACCGACUCAAGCUGAUUGAGUGGAAGCCGAGCUGCCCAAGACUCAAGGCCACAAACCGACCACCAUUUUUAAAACUGACCAAUUUUUCUUUGUGUGAAAUAGGAACAAAGCAGUGCAAGUAAAGUGGUUCAAAAAAAAAGAAAAGAAAAAGAAAAAAGAGAAGAAAAAGAAAAGAAAAGAAGACAUGACAAAGGGAAGUUUCUCAAAUUUUUGACUUUAUUUGUCGUGCUAUAUUGCAUAAAAUCUUGCCAUUGAUCUUCAUAUUUUUUCCUACUAGGAUAAAAAGUCCUAGUAUUAUGGAUUUUCCUCCCAAUAAAAAUCUUAGUCUGAUGAAUCUUUCUCCUAAGAUAAGGAAUCCUAGUCUGAUGAACUGUCACGACCCAGAUUUUCCACCCUCGGAAGUCGUGAUGGCGCCUACUAGUGUGAGCUAGGCAAGCCGACUGUUUGAACAAAUUAUUUUUUUCCCAUUUUAAUACUUUACAAGAUAUUAUGGGCAAUAACUUAAAGAAAACGAAAUUUAUAUCAAGCGGAAGAAGAAUAAUAAAAUUACUGAGUAUAUCCAAUACAACUAUUUAAAUAAGACUACCCAAAACUAGAGUCACAACUUCACAGACGGUCUAAGAGUACUACAGAUAAAGGUUUGAAAGAAAUAAAUACAACAUUGUCUCUGGAAAUUCAUGAAAGAAACAGGAAUAGUAGAUAAAAGGAGACGUCAAGGCCUGUCGUCGUCUGCAGGACUACCUCGGGUCGCUUGAUGAACCAGAAACAACAAUCUCACUAUGGUCCGAAGUCUACAACACUGGGGUCUGCACAAAAGAGUGCAGAGUGUAGUAUCAGCACAACCGACCCCAUGUGUUGGUAAGUGUCUAGCCUAACCUCGGCGAAGUAAUGACGAGGCUAGUACCAGACUACCAAAUAAACCUGUGCAGUUUAACUAUAUACAGCAGAAAAGAAGAACAGUAAUAUACAGUCAAGUAUGCGAGGGGGGAAACAUGUUGCGGGGAAGCAUCGAAUAAUAACAGAAGAACAACAAAUAAAUAUGAGGAUCACCAUAGUUCAAUUGAAAAUAGGAAGGGGAAAUCAUGCUGCGGAGUACAACAAGUAUCAACAGGAAACCAUCAAUUAAAUGUGGAGAAACUGUAACUCAGUUAUCAAUAAAAACUGCACGGCAUCACCCUUCGUGCUUUUACUCUCAUCCUCACCAAGAAUCAAUAUAAUCGGCACGGAAUUGUACAUCGUGCGGUACGGCAUCACCCUUCGUGCUUUACACUCUCCCUCACAAAAUCAUACACGGCAUCACCCUUCGUGCUUUAGCACUCUUCCUCACCCAAACAACAACCACAAACAAUAGGGCAAAGGAAUAAAUAAAAUUACAAUAAGAAUCCCGGCAAGAGAACAAUAGUUUAACAAUCAAGUCCCGGCAAGGGAACAACAUCAAAGAAACAUCAACAUCCCGGCAAGGGAGAUAACAUCAAAAGCAACAAUAUCCCGGCAAGGGUGAUAAUAUAAUAAUUCUCUUCUUUUUUUACUUUUACUUCACAACUCACUUCACAACUUGAGCCAAUGCUCUAAAAGAUUCGAUUACCGCUUAUACUUUCACGUUUCAUUGUACAACUUGAGCCAAUGCUCCUCAAUGUUCAAAUGUCACAAUUACUUUCACAACAUUGCCCAACAAUAGAAAUCAUCAUCAAAGCAUGAAUAAUACAACGAAGUCAUAAUAAUCACAAUAUAAGACUCACCGGCAUGCUUGACACCAACAUAUAGAUACUCCUCGCCAUGCCUGUACGUCGUACUCGACAAAUACCACAUAGCAAAUAGGACUCGACUCUUAAUCUCUCAAGCUAAGGUUAGGCCAAACACUUACCUCGAUGCCACGAAUACAAUUCAAGUCUCUACUAUCGCUUUACCUCUUGAUUCCACCACCAAUUCGCUCGUAUCUAGCCACAAGUUACUUAAUUACAUCAAUAAAUGCUAAAUGAAUCAAUUCUAAUGCAUGAAAAUAGGUUUUUCAAAGUUUUACCCAAAAAGUCAAAAAUUGCCUCCAGAUCCACAUGGUCAAACCUGAGGUUCGAACCAAAACCCGACUACCCAUUCCCCCACGAACUCAAAUAUAUAAUUUAUUUUGAAAUCGGGCCCCAAAUCGAGGUCCAAAUCCCCAAUUUUUGAAAACCCUAGGUUUUACCUAAAACACCCUAAUUUCCCCAUAAAAAUCAUUGAUUUUGAGUUGAAAUCAUGUGAAAAGAUGUUAAAGAUUGAAGAAAAAUAGUUAGAAAUCACUUACAAUCGAUUUGGAAGAGAAGUUGCCUUUGAAAAAUCGUCCUAGAGAGUUUAUGUUUUGAGAAGAUGUGAAAAACUGUUGAAAAUGCGUCUAAGUUAUGAACUUACAGUUCUCUGAUGUCGCAAUUGGAUUGCGAACCCUUCAGAAUUCUGAUACCUUCGCAUUUGCGAACAAAAUGUUGCAUUUGCGACCCAGUCUAUUUUUCGGUCUUCUUCGCAUUUGCGAUAGACCUCUCGCAAAUGCGAAGUCGCAUUUGCGAUACAGGAGUCGCAUUUGCGACUAAGGCAGCAACUGGGUGGUCAUCGCAUUUGCAAUGGAAAACUCGCAUUUGCGAGGGAAGGAUGGCCUGGGCUAGUUCGCAUUUGCGACAUAGCCUUCGAAUUUGCGAGCCUGCAGGCCUGCAAUGCAACAACUGAAAUCUGCAAUUCCUCAAGUCCAAAAUUCACCCCGUGACCUAUUCAAAACUCACUCGAGCACUCGGGGCUCCAUACCAAAUAUGCACACCAUCCUAAAAAUAUCAUACAGACUCGCUCGUGCAUUCAAAUCACUAAAAUAACAUCAACAACUAUGAAUUUAGCAUCAAAAUCAUGAAAUUUCUUAAGAACUUCAAAUUUUCCAAUUUUCUCAAAUAUGAUCCGAUUCACGUCAUCUCAAGUCCAUUUAUUACCAAAUUUCACAGGCUUAUCUUAAAUCAUAUAUAAGACCUGUACCGGGCACCGGAACAAAAAUACGGGCCCGAUACCAUCAAGUUCUAAGCACGUAUCAUUUCCAAAAAUUCAAUAAUAUUCCAGAAAAUAAUUUUCUUCAAAAAUUCAUUUCUCGGGCUUGGGAGCUCGGAAUUCGAUUCCGGACAUACUCUCAAGUCCCAUAUUUUCCUACGGACCCUUGGGGACUGUCAAAUCACGGGUUUGGGUACGUUUACCUAAAAUAUUGGCCGAAGUCAAAUUAAUUCAUUUUAAAGUCAAAAUUCAUCAUUUUUUAUAGUUUUCACAUAAUGGCUUUUCGGCUAUGCGCCCCCACUGCGCACGCAAAUUGAGGUGAUACUGAAAGAGGUUUUUGAGGCCUCGAAACGCAGAAUUCUCUUUUAAAACAAGUGAUAACCUUUUGGGUCAUCACAUCCUCCACCUCUAAAACAAUCGUUCGUCCUUGAACGGACAGAAGAAGGAAGUACCUGAGUCGGGAAAAAGAUGGGGAUAACGGCUCCGCAUAUCGGACUCGGACUGCCAGGUCGAUGACCUAGCGGGCUGACCUCUCCACUGAACACGAACAUAAGGAAAACUCUUUGUUCUCAAUUGAUGAACUUGUUGGUCUAGAAUAGCUAUCGGGUCCUCCUCAUAAGACAAGUCCUUGUCCAACUGGACAGUGCUGAAAUCUAACACGUAGGAUGGAUCGCCAUGAUAUUUCCGAAGCAUGGACACAUGAAACACUGGAUGCAUGGCUGAUAAGCUCGGCGGCAAUGCAAGUCUGUAAGCCACCUCUCCCACUCGAUCAAGAAUCUCAAACGGGCCAAUGAACCUAGGGCUAAGCUUGCCCUUCUUACCAAAUCUCACCAUGCCCUUCAUAGGCGACACUCGAAGCAAUACUCACUCACCGACCAUGAAUGCCAAAUUUUAAACCUUACGGUCGGCAUAACUCUUUUGCCUGGACUGAGCCGUACGAAGCCUAUCCUGAAUAAUUCUGACCUUGUCCAAGGCAUCCUGAACCAGAUCCGUACCCAACAACCGAGCUUCCCCCGGCUCAAACCAUCCAACCGGCAACCGACACUGCCUACCAUACAAAUCCUCAUAAGGAGCUAUCUGGAUACUCGACUGGUAUUUGUUGCUAUAGGCAAACUAUGCUAAAGGCAAAAACUGAUCCCAUGAGCCUCCAAAGUCAAUGACACAAGCUUGGAGCAUAUCCUCCAAAAUCUGAAUGGUUUCGGACUGCCCGUCUGUCUGAGGAUGAAAUGUUGUGCUCAACUCAACCCAUGUGCCCAACUCUCGCUGGACCGUUCUCCAAAAAUGUGAGGUAAACUACGUACCUCACUCCGAAAUGAUAGACUCGGGCACACCAUGAAGACGAACAAUCUCCCGGAUAUAGAUCUCAGCUAACCUCUCAGAAGAAUAGGAGAAUGCUACAAGAAUAAAAUGUCCUAACUUGGUCAGCCUGUCAAAAAUAACCCACACUGCAUCAAAUUUCCUCUGAGUCCGUGGGAAUCCAACAAUGAAGUCCAUAAUGAUACGCUCCUACUUCCACUUAGGAAUCUCAAUCUUUUGGAACAAACCACCAGGUCUCUGAUGCUCAUACUUAACCUGCUGACAAUUCAAACACCGAGACACAUAUGCAACAAUAUCCUUCUUCAUUCUUCUCCACUAAUAAUGUUGCCGCAAAUCCUGAUACAUCUUAGUGGAGCCCGAAUGAAUAGAGUACCGGGAACUGUGGGCCUUCUCUAAAAUCAACUCUCGAAGCUCAUCUACAUGAGGCACCUCCGUGCUGCACCGUGUCUCUAAGGACACACAAAUAAGGAUCAUCAUACUGUCAAUCUCGGAUACGCUCCAAUAAACAAGAACGAGCGACUAUGCAAGCUAACCCACGGCUGGGCUCAGAAACAUCCAACCUCAUGAACUGAUUGGCCAAAUCCUGAACAUCCAAAUCAAGCGGUCUCUCACCGACUGGAAUAUAAGCAAGAAUGCCCAUACUGGUUGACUUCCUACUCAAAGCAUCGGUCACCCAUUGGCCUUUCCCGGAUGAUAUAAGAUGGUGAUAUCAUAGUCCUUUAAUAGCUCCAACCACCUUCUCUGCCUCAAAUUUAUCUCCUUCUACUUGAACAAAUACUGCAAACUCUUGUGAUCCGUGAACACCUCGCAUGCCAUGCCAUACAGAUAAUGCCUCUAGAUCUUCAAUGCGUAAACAGUGGCUGCUAACUCCAAGUCAUGAACCAGAUAGUUCUUCCUAUGAAUCUUCAACUGCUGCGAAGCAUAGGCAAUGACCUUGCCAUCCUGCAUCAACACCGCACCAAGUCCAUUACGAGAUGCAACGCAAUAAACUGUAUAAGGCCCUGAACUUGUGGGCAAAACCAACACAUGUGCCGUAGUCAGAGCUGUCUUGAGCUUCUGAAAGCUCGCCUCACACUCAUCCAACCAUCUGAACUAGGCACCCUUCUGGGUCAACAUGGUCAUCGGGGCUGCGAUAGAUGAAAACCCCUCCACAAACCGACGAUAGUAGCCUGCCAAUCCCAAGAAACUUCGGAUCUCUGUGGCUGAUGCUGGUCUAAGCCAAUUCUUGACUGCCUCAAUCUUCUUCGGAUCAACCUGAAUAACCUCUGCUGAUACAAUAUGACCCAGGAAUGCAACUGAACUCAACCAGAAUUCGCACUUCGAAAACUUAGCAUACAACUGACUAUCCCUCAAAGUUUGAAGACCCACUCUAAGAUGUUGUUCAUGCUCCUCCCGGCUGCAGGAGUAGAUCAAAAUAUCAUCAAUGAAGACUAUCACAAACGAAUCUAAGUAAGGCCUGAACACUCGGUUCAUCAAAUCCAUAAAAGCUGCUGGGGAUUUGUCAACCCGAAUGACAUCACCAGGAACUCAUAAUGCCCGUACCGAGUGCGAAAAGCGGUCUUAGGGACAUCGGAUGCCCUAAUCCUCAACUGAUGGUAACUAGAUCUCAAGUCAAUCUUCGAAAAUACCUUGGCACCCUAAAGCUGAUCAAACAAAUUAUCAAUCCUCGGCAAUGGAUAAUUAUUCUUAAUUGUAACCUUGUUCAACUGCCGGUAAUCAAUACACAUUCUCAUCGAUCCAUCCUUCUUCUUAACAAACAACACCAGCGCACACCAAGGCGAAACACUAGAUCUAAUGAAACCUUUCUCAAGCAAGUCUUGCAACUGCUCCUUCAACUCUUUCAACUUAGGCGGGCCAUAGGUUUUCCCAUGACUUGUAAGACCUACGUAAACCUAGUGCUCUGAUGCCAUGUUGUCACGACCCAUUUUCAUAACAGGUCGUGAUGGCGCCCAACACCAUUGUCAGGCAUGCCAACGUGGAAGUAUUAGUAAAUUCUUAUUUUACUUACCCAAAACAGUUACAACAUUUUCUUAAUUUACAACUAAAAACAGGUGUUAAUAUGCAACAUUCGAUAAUAAUUAUACAAUCCAAAAUAAACGUCUACUAAUGUGUGUGCCAAGACCUGGUGUCACAAGUUGUGAGCAACUAGUAAAAUAUACAAAAGAAUAAAUCCAUCCUACUAUCUGAAAUAGAAUAGACAGCAAAAAUAAAUAAAGAGAGACUCCAUCAAGCUGCUGAACGACACAAGAAGGGGUAGCUCACCGUGGAAGUCUCGGACUAUGAAUUAGGGGCGCGCACCAGACUGAUAGCCAGAUGUAACUGCCUCAGAUCCUGUACAAUUAAGUACAGAAGUGUAGUAUGAGUACAUAAACAAUAUGUACUCUUAAGUAUCCCGUCUAAUCUCGAAGAAGUAGAGAUGAGAGGUUGACUUGAUACUUACUAAGGUCAAAUAAUAUAAUAAAGUGUUGCGGUAAGCACGGGAGUCACAAAUAAUCAACAGUUUGUAGCAAGAGGUAAUAAGUCAUGUUCUUAACAAUUUUACAAUUAGUCAUUUACGUUUCAAAUACUUAGCAGAUCAAGUCAUAGAUAAGAUUUCACACAGAUAUCAUGCACACAUUAUACCGAGGUCGACGGCCCGAUCCAACAGAAAAUAAACUGUGAACUGCUAGAGGGUCGAAUGGAGAGCCACCAUAGAUGCAUAUAUCUCUACCAAGGCGAUUGGCCCGAUCCACAAAUAUCAAUUAAUAUCAAAAAACACAUGAAUGCACAUUUAUUUCCAAGCAAAUUCAUACAAGUGUCGAACAAGUGUAUACAUUCGUUUAUAUUUCUUUCCAAGUCUCUAGCAUAUCUAAGUGAUCACAUUAGCAAGAAAAUAUAGAGACAUUCACAAAUAUAGCAUGAUACGGGUCCUAGACUACCCGGACAAUUAACAUAAUAGUAGCUACGCACGGACUCUCGUUACCUGGUACGUACGUAGCCCCCACAUUUAGUAGCAAAUUACUCAAUUAUUACACCUAUGGGUACAAUUCCCUUUUACAAGGUUAAAGGAGACUCACCUCGCUCCAAAGUGCACUUCCAAUACCAAGAAUGAGCCCGCACUCUCAAUUUGGAGCCGAACGAUCCAAAACUAGUUAGAUGAGGUAGGAACUAGUCAAUAUAAGCUCACAAGAUCAUAUUCUAGCUAUUUAAGCAAUUUCUCAACCCUUAACACAAGUUUUCUAAAAUCCGACCCCGGGCCCACGUGCCCGGAUUCCGAAAUUUUUCGAAGGAAUUUGUCCUCUCUAACCUAAGGGUAAAUAAAAUGUUGCUGCCAAUGGUCUAGCCGAGGCAUUCAACAAGACACUAUGCAACUUGUUAAAGAAUGUCAUCUCCAAAUCCAAACGAGAUUGAAAUGACAGUAUGGAAGAAGCUCUAUGGGCAUAUAGGACGACUCAUCGCACGGCAACACAAGCGACUCCUUAUUCACUCGUUUAUGGAGUCAAAGUCGUCUUACCACUUGAGCGUCAAAUACCUUCAUUACGACUGGCUAUUCAAGAAGGCAUCACUGAUGAAGAAAAUGCUCGACUUCAAUUAGCAGGGUUGGAGGCUCUCGAUGAGAAGAGGUUGGAAGCUCAACAGAGUCUUGAAUGUUAUCAAGCUCGAUUGUCUCGNNNNNNNNNNNNNNNNNNNNNNNNNNNNNNNNNNNNNNNNNNNNNNNNNNNNNNNNNNNNNNNNNNNNNNNNNNNNNNNNNNNNNNNNNNNNNNNNNNNNNNNNNNNNNNNNNNNNNNNNNNNNNNNNNNNNNNNNNNNNNNNNNNNNNNNNNNNNNNNNNNNNNNNNNNNNNNNNNNNNNNNNNNNNNNNNNNNNNNNNNNNNNNNNNNNNNNNNNNNNNNNNNNNNNNNNNNNNNNNNNNNNNNNNNNNNNNNNNNNNNNNNNNNNNNNNNNNNNNNNNNNNNNNNNNNNNNNNNNNNNNNNNNNNNNNNNNNNNNNNNNNNNNNNNNNNNNNNNNNNNNNNNNNNNNNNNNNNNNNNNNNNNNNNNNNNNNNNNNNNNNNNNNNNNNNNNNNNNNNNNNNNNNNNNNNNNNNNNNNNNNNNNNNNNNNNNNNNNNNNNNNNNNNNNNNNNNNNNNNNNNNNNNNNNNNNNNNNNNNNNNNNNNNNNNNNNNNNNNNNNNNNNNNNNNNNNNNNNNNNNNNNNNNCUUACAAGUUGGUUGAUGCAGAUGGCAUGAGAAUCGGCCCUAUCAAUGGCAAGUUUUUAAAGAAGUAUCAUCCUUGAAGUUGCUAUGCUCCUUGACGCACGAGCCUAUACUGCAUGUUGCUACGCUCCUUGACGCACGAGCCUAAAUUGCAUGUUGCUACACUCCUAGCCCGCAUGAGUCUAAACUAUGUAUGGACCCUGCAAAAACAAAGAGUCUACUAGGUUGAAAACUUCGAAAGAGGCGGCAUAGGCAAAAGUUAGGACAUAAAAAAAUAAGAAUAAUAAAAAAAAUCACCCAGUUUGAACUGCGGUAUGACUUGAUCCUCUUCACCGAGGUACGCAAGCAGCUUAGAUUUUCAUUCUAAGUCCAGUCGAAUAAGUUCAAAAGAUACAUAUUGCCCUAAUUAUUGUUCGAAUGAAGUAUGAAGAAAUGUAAGAUCAAGCUGAAAUGACAUCCUCAUGUUAAACUUUGAUCUCAUUUGAUUUAAAGGGGUAAACCCUCCAUGGUAAAGUGAUAUCUUCAAGGUGCCCAUUUUAGGAGGAUGUCAAGUAUUUGCAUUGAAGUCCAGGGAUUCUUUGUGCCUUCAGGUUCGCCAAACCUUCAAGUUUGUUGGUCUCCAAGUCCGCCCUCUGCCUUAAAAAAAAGGAGAUGUAUGUGUCGGACUUCUUUUAACGGUUUGUUGCGAACUUUUAAAUAUGUUCGUCUCGAACUUUUAAAGGCAUCCAAGUUUUUAACGGUUUUCGUUGCACACUUUUAAAGGUGUUCAUCUCAAACUUUUAAAGGCAUCCGAAUUUUUAACGGUUUUCGUGGCGAACUUUUAAAGGUGUUCGUCUCGAACUUUUAAAGUCAUCCAAAUUUUUAACAGUUUUUGUUGCGAACUUUUAAAGGUGUUCAUCUCAAACUUUUAAAGGUGUUCAUCUCGAACUUUUAAAGGCAUCCGAAUUUUUAAAGGUGUUCAUCUCGAAUUUUAAAAACAUUCUAAUUUUUAUGGUUUUCGUUCUGAACUUUUAAAAGACGCGUGUUUUGAACUUUUAAAGGUGCUCAUGGCAAAUUUUAAAGGGUCCCCGCUGCCGACUUAUAAGGAUUUCUACCACAAGCUUUAAGGAUCUUUGCACGGACUUUUAUGGGUCUUUGCUGCAAAUUUUAAAGGUAUUCAUUGUGAACUUUUAAAGGUCAUCACCACGAACUUUUAAAGGUCUUGACCACGAGCUUUUAGACCUUCGCACGAACUUUUAUGGGUCUUCCCCGUAAAUUUUAAAGGUAUUCGUCGCGAACUUUUAAAGAUCUUUACUGAGAGCUUUUAAAGGUCUCCAUCGCGAGCUUUUAAAGGUCUUCACCGCGAACUUUUAAAGGUCUUGACCACGAGGUUUUAAGGAUCAUUGCGCGAACUUUUAAAGGUCUUCACCAUAAACUUUAAAGAUCUUCAUCACAAACUUUUAAAGGCCUUCAUCUCAAACUUUUUGAGUGUUAUAGGCAUAGUUAAGUGAUUUUGUUGUUACAAACGAAAAAAUAUAUAAUUUUAGUACGUAAUUUUGGAUAGUUGAGUGACCAUUUGAGUAAUGGACUCAUGUAAUGUAGGGGAAGUUGCAACCAGUAUACUACAACUCAAAUGUGUACGUAGUAGUAUUACCCUCGUGUAGGCAUAUAAAUUUUAUUUAAAUUAAAUCCAUACAAUAAUUUGGACUAUAUUUUAAAUUCAAGAUAUAUUGAUCCAAAUAAAUAUUAUGGGCUAAUAUAUAAAUUAAUUAAUUAUAUAGGUCCAACAUAUCUUAAUCCGUUGGGCUAGCCUAUUUAAUUGGACUAAAGUGAUGAGCCCACUUCAUUAGGUCCAAAAUGACAUCUUCCUAGAAGCCUAGUUUGGUGACACGUGUCAAAUGACGUGGCGCGCCAAGUCAAAUGGAAGAGCCAAUAGGAUCGUGUCACAUGUGAAAAUGACAAGGCAUGCCAAGUCACACUAAAAGGCCAAUACAAAUUUCGUGGUUAAAUCUAAAUUUUGUUCUAACCCCAUGAUUUUGCCUUAAUCCUAGUGUUUAAUCUACCUAUGACGCUAGUAUUAGACUAGGAAUAUGUGGGAGAAACUUACCUCAAGAUGCUAGGUGGAAGUCUUCUCUCAAAAGCUCCCAAAAUCGCCAAUGGAGGAAUAAAAAGUGGCAAAAAUGACUUAGAACCCGUAUUAAAUGAAGCUCACUACUUCAGCAAUUUCCGCAUCUGAUGGGUCCCGCUUCUACGAGAAAUCGAAUGCACCUGCGGAAUCGGCCAAGCGGGCUGCGACCGCUUCUGCGGUCUCGAAGUCGCUUCUGCAAUUUUGGCCUGGCCUACCCUAGGCUGCAUCUACGAUAGGUGGACCGCUUCUGCGGUCUCGCACCUGCAGUCGACCAACCGCAAGUGCGGUUAUGACAGAAGCAGAUGCUUCAGCACUUCUCAAAAUUUCCAACUUCACUCGAGCCUCGUCUAAUUGACGCUCGGGUCUUCCGGGCCCCGCCCGAACAUACCGACAAGUCUAAAAUCAUGAAACGGACCUGCUCGAACCUUCGAAAUGCCCAAAAAACCGGUAGAUCUAAGAAUCACCCCCUAAAACCAAUUGAAUCAAACUUAUGAACUUCAAGUUCUUAAUUUUCCUCUAACGAGCCGAAAUGCCCUUAAACUACUCGGAUUGACACCAAAUUUUGCGGGAAAGUCUUAAAUGUUAUAUUAGACUUGUAUCGGGCUACGGAACCAACAUACGAGCUCGAUACCCAUAUGAUCAAUCAUUAUUUAGUUUCUUUAAAUCCUUAGAAAUUCAGUUUAACAAUUUCUAAUAAAAAUUCAUUACUCGGGCCAGGGACCUUGGAAUUUGAUUCCGGGCAUAUGCCCAGGUACCAUAUUUUCCUACGUACCCUCUAGGAUCGUCAAAACAUGAGUCUGGGUCCGUUUGCUAAAAAUGUUGACUAAAGUCAAACUUAGCCUUUUUAAAAAAUCUUAAGGAGUCAAAUGAGCGUAUUUCAACCCAAAUCCUUUCAAGUUCCCGAACCAACCAUCACCGCGGCUCGUAAAUGAGUUAAAGAAAGUGCGGAAAGUUUUAUUUAGGGGGACGGGGUUCUAAAAGGCAAAACGACCAGUCGGGUCAUUACUGAAUUCCCUAUCAAACGGGAGUCUCAGUAGUCAGUCUUGCUAUCCUUUCUGCGUCUGGAUUAUCUCAGGGUGUGAUUCGGAUAUUUUAAUUUAUUGUCUUACUGUCUGGAGUAAACCCUUCUAUCUUUAAAAUUCAAGAAAAAAAUUCAAAAAAAAUCACCCAAAAAAAUCAAAUAAAAUUAAUAUUUCAUCGUUCGGGAAUUUCUCUUUUCUUAAUCUUGGCACUUUUCUUAUUCUCUUUUCAGUUCUAUUAAAUGCAGAUUUUAAUAACAUGACAAGUUUGCGAACUUCAAGCCCAGAUCUCAAAACGUUGUCAGACCUCGAAAUAAUGAAUCAAGAAUUAGAUCGUAAUGAAGAUAAGUUUAAGGAAAUAAAACAAAGAGUUAGAACAGCUGAAGGAAAAUUGGCUCCAGAUUGGAAAGGCCAUACAUUGCAACAAGAGUACUACCAAAAGAGUGUGUUGUACUUGGGACACAUCGAAGGAAAUGUUCCUGAAAUAACUGUCAAUACAAAUGCAGUCAAAAGGUACUAUGUCGGAUCCUCUAUAUAGCAUUAUUGUUCUCCAUUUGGAAUAAAAAAAGGCUUUCUUUCUCACUAUCCAAACACUAUUAACCCUUUGCAAACCCUUUGAGCCGGUUACUUUUCUUUAAUUACCCUCUUUGGAACCUGAAAGUGUUAUUGAAAAAAUAAAAAUUGAAAAAAAUGAAAUGAAGAAUGAAAAAAAAAUAAAAAAUGAGAAGAAAAAGAAAGAUACAAAUAAAAAAAGGGGAAGAAAAACAAAGAAACUGAAAUGAAAAAAAAGGAGAGGAAAAAGAAAGAGAAAACAAAACAGAAGAAAAAUAAAGUUCCCUGAACUACGUUCGACUUAUUCCGAAAAGAUACGUAGUCAACCUCUCUCAGGGGUUCAGUGACACCAAAAUAAAAAUCCAAAUUUCCCCAAAAGUGAAACUGGGGCAGAUGUUAUAAUGGUUCGGCGAUGAUCCCGCCUGAAUAGUUCCAAAGUUGAUUUUCAGUCCAAAUCAUCUUUUACCUAAAUCCUUUCAAGUCCUUUCGAUCAAUCGGUGAGAAUGUUCAAGGAUCAGAGAAUACAACUAUUUGGAUCCUAUGCAAUCAAAAUGAGAUAAAUAAAAUGAGAGAAUCUUAUUGGUGAAAAUCCAUACGGGCACCGUGAGGCGAUAGUAAGCAGAGAAAUAAAAUGAGAGAGUUUUAUUGGUGAAAAUUCACACGGGCACCAUGGGGCGAUGGUAAGCAGAGAAAUGAAAAAUGAGAGAUUUUUGUUAGUAAAAACUCUCAAAGAGCACUAUAAGGCGAUGGUGAAAAGUGAAAUGAGAGAGGUUAGCUGUUGAAAACCCGCAAAGGGCACCCCUGAUCAAAAAGAGGAUCUUCAGUCAUUGACAUUGACACAGUCCUGGGCAAGGUUUCUCAGUUUCGAGGCAAAAGUUGUGAUAAAUUUCUGAGAGUCAGAUGGUUUGCACGAAUCAGGCAUCCUGUCCAAAAGGCAUGUCAUAUUCAUUGAAGUCCGCAUGUACUCUAGAUAAGUCCUUCUUUCCUUUUCUCGAAAGGGAUACCUCUUGUCUAAAUUCAUUUGUGCAUUCCAUUAUGUGCUUUUCUUUGAAUCCCUUUUAGUCUAACUCUGUUUCGUAACUAAGACAAAGAAGGGAUAGAAAGAUUGAUUUACAGGUUUCUCAUUUGAUACAAGCUAAUAUGCAAAAAGGGCACCCAACAUCAUGAGAGUCAUUCAAGUCGACCUCGACUGGCCAUGUUGGCCGAUGCUUCGAAAUCAAAACGCUUGGAAGGAGAAAAUCAAAUUGAAGUGCCUAUAAAGGCAAAUGAAGCUGAAAAGGUUGAGUACCAUAUGGCUAACCGUCUCGGCAAAAGUUUAAAAAGCCAAGGUACCCCAAAUGCUCUGAAAUUGAAGUUGGAAGAAAGAAGCCAGAAAUGAAAGGCUUAUGAAGGUGGGAAAAAAGUUGGAAAAGGUUAAAUCCCACGCGACUAGCCGUUGCGACAAAGUUUGAGGAGCCAAAAGUUCCUCAAUGCUCUGAAGUUAAAAAAAAAAAGAGAGAGAAAAGAAAAACAACAAGUCAGAAGGGAAGGGACUAUAGAGGCAAAAUAAAGUCAAAAAGUUAAGUCCUAUCGACCAAUCGUCAUGGCAAAGUCUAGAAAGCCAGAGUUUCUCCAGGGUCAGAAAUGCGAUUGGUAUUCAGGAAACAACCAGUUGUAGAUGAAAGGGGACGAGAUCAAGUGGUUGAAAUAAUCAAGGCCACAAAAUCAACCACCGUUUUAAACUAACAAAUUGUUCUUUGUUUGAAAAUGUUAAAAGUGAAAUGAAAAAAAAAAAAGAAAAAUUCAAAACCAUGGUAGCAUAUGGUCUUCAGUCUCUAGCUACGUAUUUCCCAAUAUAGGGUCUCAUUCCCUAGUCGAUGUCAGCAUAACUUGGUAAUCUUUCCAACAUAGGGUCUCACCCCUAGUUGAUCCCGGCAUAACCCGAGGACUUUUUUGGCAUAACCCGAUGGCUUUCCCGGCAUAAUCCGAGGACCUUUCUGGCAUAACCCGAUGACUUCCCCGGCAUAACCCGAGGAUCUUUCCGGCAUAACCCGAUAACUUCCCCGGCAUAACCCGAUGACUUCCCCGGCAUAACCCGAGGACCUUUCCGGCAUAACCCGAUGACUUUUCCAUCAUAACUUGAGGACCAUUCCGGCAUAAUCCAAUGGCUUCCCCGGCAUAACCCGAGGACCUUUUCGGCAUAACCUGAUGACUUUUCCGGCAUAACCCGAUAACUUUCCCGACAUAACCCGAGGACCUUUCUGGCAUAACCCGAUGACUUCCCCGGCAUAACCCUAGGACCUUUCCUGCAUAACUCGAUAACUUCUCCGGCAUAACCCGAGGACCUUCCCGACAUAAUUCGAUGACUUCCCCGGCAUAACCCGAGGACCUUUUCAGAAUAACCCGAUGACUUUUUCGGCAUAACCCGAGGACAUUUCCGGCAUAAUCCGAUGACUUCCCCGGCAUAACCCGAGGACUUUUUCGACAUUACCCGAUUAUUUUUCCAGCAUAAUCUGGUAAUCUUUUCCAACAUAGGGUCUCACUCCCUAGCUGAUGCCAGCAUAACCUGGUAAUCCUUUCCAAUAUAGGGUCCCACUCCCUAGGUGAUGCCAGCAUAACCUGGUAAUCUUUUCCAAAAUAGGGUCACAUUCGUUAGUUGAUGCCAGCAUAACCUGGUAAUCUUUCCAACUUAGGGCCUCUAAGCCCUAGUUGAUUUCAUUUUAGAUAUAGGAUCUCUACUCCCUAAUCUCUUUUUUUCAAGGAUAUAUAAUCCUGAUUUUUAUUUUUUUUUCAAUAAAAAAGUAGUUUAGAUUUUGUUAUAAUAACUCACAAAAAAUUCUAGUGAAAACUGGGGCAGAAAAAUUUCGUUUAUUUUUUGUAUGCCUGAACAGGUUUUUACCGUAAGGCACGAGGUUUGAGAUGACCAAAAGAAGAAGUCUCAAUCCAAAUAAAAGAAAAGAAAAGCAAGAAAAGAAGUUUAACUCUAAGUGUAGAAGUGGAGAAAAGAUGCGGACUGCUCAAGAUAUGAUUGAAGUCACAAGAUUUGCAUAUCUCGCUUUGAUCCGAAAAGCUGAAGAAGAAUAAAUUAGCGCUUGCAAAAUAACGAGCAUCAAGAUUCGGAUCAGAGACUGCAGGAAGAACCAACCAAGCUCAAGGUCAAGCUUUAGAAGGUUUAUAGAUAGGAAUCUUGUAACUCGUAGUUGAUAGGCUUAGCAAGUUUAGCUUUUCAUCUUUCAUUUUGAUGUAAUAAGGAAUUCAGCAAGCAGAAACAACAAUAACAACAGUGAAAUCACAGCUUUUCGGUAGUCCCAACUACCAAAACUUCCAGAACUAUACCGACCUAAUUCCUUUAAAGCCAAGGAUAUGUGGGUAACCUCCGAAGCAAGGUUUGGUCAAACUUUUUCAAAAAUGCUUUCAAAUGGAGUAUCAAACGGGCAAAAAUUGCUCGUAAUUGCUCAUUUUAUCUUUGCCCAAAAACUCUUCAUGUUCCCGAGCAAAGAGGGGCAGCUGUGAGCACCUAAUUCUUUAUUUAAUCGUUUUUCAUGCAUUUUUAAUAUUUUAAAAUCAUAAAAAUUGUCACUUUUUAAUUUAUGUCAUCUUAGGUUCAAUUUGCAUGUAGG